rnacentral:rRNA from 1 species
UACGAAGGGGGCUAGCGUUGUUCGGAUUUACUGGGCGUAAAGCGCACGUAGGCGGGUUGUUAAGUCAGGGGGUGAAAUCCUGGAGCUCAACUCCAGAACUGCCUUUGAUACUGGCAACCUAGAGGCUGGAAGAGGUUAGUGGAAUUCCCAGUGUAGAGGUGAAAAUUCGUAGAUAUUGGGAAGAACACCAGUGGCGAAGGCGGCUAACUGGUCCAGAUCUGACGCUGAGGUGCGAAAGCGUGGGGAGCAAACAGG